AGGCACCUACGGGGGGCAGCAGUCGGGAAUAUUGCGCAAUGGAGGAAGCUCUGACGCAGUGACGCCGCGUGCAGGAAGAAGGUUUUCGGAUUGUAAACUGCUUUAGACAGGGAAGAAACAAGACAGUACCUGUAGAAUAAGCUCCGGCUAACUACGUGCCAGCAGCCGCGGUAAUACGUAGGGAGCAAGCGUUAUCCGGAUUUAUUGGGUGUAAAGGGUGCGUAGACGGGAAAACAAGUUGGUUGUGAAAUCCCUCGGCUUAACUGAGGAACUGCAACCAAAACUAUUUUUCUUGAGUGCUGGAG
rnacentral:rRNA from 1 species